GACGAACGCUGGCGGCGUGCCUAACACAUGCAAGUCUCGGGAGAAAGAGGUAGCAAUACUUCGAGUAAACCGGCGCAAGGGUGAGUAACACGUAGGUAACCUGCCUUCAGGACGGGGACAACUCCGAGAAAUCGGGGCUAAUACCCGAUAACGCAGCGGCACCGCAUGGUGACAGUUGUUAAAUGCUAAGGCGCCUGAAGAUGGGCCUGCGCCCCAUUAGGUAGUUGGCGGAGUAAAAGCCCACCAAGCCGACGAUGGGUAGCUGGUCUGAGAGGACGAUCAGCCACACUGGAACUGAGACACGGUCCAGACUCCUACGGGAGGCAGCAGUGAGGAAUAUUGCGCAAUGCCCGCAAGGGUGACGCAGCGACGCCGCGUGGAGGAUGAAGGCCCUCUGGGUCGUAAACUCCUGUUGAGAGGGAAGAACG
rnacentral:rRNA from 1 species